rnacentral:rRNA from 1 species
AGAGGUGGCAAGCGUUGUUCGGAAUUACUGGGCGUAAAGGGCGCGUAGGCGGCCUUGUCAGUCAGACGUGAAAUCCCCAGGCUUAACCUGGGAACUGCGUCUGAUACUACAAGGCUGGAGUUCGGGAGAGGGAUGUGGAAUUCCAGGUGUAGCGGUGAAAUGCGUAGAUAUCUGGAGGAACACCGGUGGCGAAGGCGGCAUCCUGGACCGAAACUGACGCUGAGGCGCGAAAGCCAGGGGAGCAAACGGGAUUAGAUACCCCGGUAGUCCUGGCCCUAAACGAUGAGUGCUUGGUGUGGCGGGUAUCGAUCCCUGCCGUGCCGAAGCUAACGCAUUAAGCACUCCGCCUGGGGAGUACGGUCGCAAGGCUGAA